ACUCACAAGUGAUAAAGUUGCUAAAGAAAAGACUUUUAGGUGUUUAUACAACAUUUGUAUCAAUCACUGAUUUUUUUCUGUAGCCCCAUGUGUGCCAUACCACAUUGAGACCUAUGCAGAGUGUGAAAAUAACCUUGGAGCUGUCAGCUGGGCUGGCAGUGAUGGCGCAGAUUUUUUCACCGCCAUUGCUGUAGGACAGGAUGGCCACACGCACGUCUGCCUAACAAAUACAACUUUCUGUGUCUGGGAGGAACUGCACUGUGGAGAAAUUUACUUUGUCCAAGUCACUGCCAAUGCCCAAAUCUGCAACAGUGGGUCCAGUGAUGGCACAGUCAUACACAUGGCUCCAUGUGUCCCUCAAGAACUGGUGUCCUCUUUCGACUGUGACAUGAGAGUGGCUUCCCUCACCUGGGAAGCAAGUGAAAAUGCUGAGAUGUACCUGGUGUCUGCAGAAUCUGAUAGCGGUCACCGGGUGGAACUCUCAACAAAUGCCACAAGUGCACAAUUCUCUGAGUUCAACUGUGGUCAGCCGUACUAUCUGACUGUGCAAGCUGUGGGAAAUGUAUGUAGAAGCCACCCCAGUAAUGCUUCAGUAUUGCAGACAGGUUAGGACCCUCUCUCUCAUACACAAAGAUAUGAUGUCAAAAGAAGUGCAUAACUCAAAAGGACUUUCAAAAGGACAGCACAGGCUUGGCAUAACACUGUCCCACUUGUUGAAUGACUUGGAUUAUGUAAUUCUGUCUUCUUGCAGAGCCCUGUACUCCAGCAGCUGUCGUUGGCUUUAUGGACUGCAUCUCCAACAUUGCUACUGUAUCCUGGGUGUUAGCUGAAGGUGCAGAAUACUACACAGCGACAGUUCAUGGCCCAGAUGGGCCUUCGGAAACAUGCAUGUCCUCGUCAUCGAGCUGUGGCAUGCCCAAACUGUCCUGCGGUGAAACAUACAAUGUUAGCGUGAUUGCCUCCAGUCGCAAGUGUAACUCAACACCCAGUGCGCUGAGCUCUCUUAACUCAGGUAAUGCAAGCAAACAAACGACAGCAUAAAUAUAAGACACAAAUACACAAGUCUCAGCACAGGUACAGGUAUAACACUAAAGCACUUAAGCC
ensembl:lncRNA